AGUUAGUGAAUGCAAAGUUAAGAUUUUUUUGCGUGAGUUUGAAAACAAAAUUUCAUCUGCAUUCACAAAAAAAAAAUGGCCAAACCAAAAAUUAAAAUGUUCAAGAAACAUGUUUUUUCACCUCUCUAAUGCCAAAGCAAACACACCCAUGAUCUUUCACGAAAUGGGCUUUUUGGAAUUUGAAUCCCUAACUUUGCAGGAAAAGCUUGCUCAAGGCUUAACCCAAUUCCACUAAGCCAGCUAUCUUUGGCGACUAAAUUUUCAAAUUGGUCCCCAGAUUCACCUCAUGCACCAAUUUAAUUUUUGAGAUUCCAAUUGCACUAAUUUGAUCUCCAAAAUUGGUCUUCGAGCAACAUACUAACCCCUCAACCUAUUUUUGGCAUAAAUCUAUAGCCAGACGACUAAGGUGACACAACUAAUACCACGUGGUAUCAUCAUUAACCCCAUAUCAUCACUAACUUCCACAUCAUCAUCAUCCUCAUAUAUCCCUUCUCUCUCCCAAAUGCUCCACCAUGCUCUCUCCCUCGCCCCAACAUUGCCACUUCCCCAACCCCCUCACGACAAGCUCAAGACACAGAACGACCUCCACUCUCUCCUCGACAUCCUCAAUCGCCACCACCAUCUUCUCCUGCACCCAUAUUGACGAUGCCGCCGCUCUCUCCAACAAUCCUCUAUGACUCUCCACCAGUCCUGGAAGUGAAAACAGGUUCGCAAAAUAGUUUCAAAGUGAAGAACAGUUGCAGUGAUCGAAAAUGACGAAUUCGUUGGUGAGGUUAUCAAGAUUAGAGGUGAGGGAGCCCUACCAAUAAACGUUAGAGCCAGAGAGCAUGUCAAAUUGUGAAACCCUAAAGGAAUAAUCGUCGAAGACCUUGAGGCGGCCUCUGAGCUGGUGUUGAACUAUCUUGAAGUCGAACUCCAAAUCGACGAGCGGGGAACUCCAGAUCCGCAUGACAACAUAAGAAGAAGAAGAGGAAGAGGGAGAUGGUGGAUUCGCGAAGCAUGAGGAUUUGCGAGAUUCGAAUGGUCAGCUUUAAUCGGUGAGGAACAACAGACGUACCUACUAGUGGUAGAGAUGAUAAGUGAGACACCGCGAUUGUUGUCUUUGAUGCCAACGGAACAUCGAAAGCAGAGAGCGGAGUGGAUGCUGAAGCUGAAACAAAAGCUAGCAGGAGUUGUGGAUAUGGAAGGCGUGGACCCAAAGUCAAAGGAGGGUGUGGUGGUGAUAUAGUGGCAGAUUAGGAAUGAUAGUUGUGGUGAUGGUUCAAGGAAUUAGGGAUGACAAGGGAUGUAGGAAGAUGAUGAUGAUGAUGUAGGAAUUAGUGAUGAUGUAGGGGUUAUUGAUGAUGUCACAUCAACAAUUCAGCUGACUCACUCCAAAAAUAAGUUGAGAGAUUAGUAUGUCGUCUAAAAGUCAAUCUAAAAGAUUAAAUUAAUGCAAUUAGAAUCUAAAAAAUCAAAUUGGUGCACAAGUGGAAUAUGGAAGACUACUUUGAAUAGUCGCCAUUGGACAAAAUUUUCGCAACUAUAAUUGAGAGACUAAUGACAAUAAAGAUUGAUGCAUAUGCU